rnacentral:rRNA from 1 species
UGAGGAAUAUUGGUCAAUGGGCGAGAGCCUGAACCAGCCAAGUAGCGUGCAGGAUGACGGCCCUAUGGGUUGUAAACUGCUUUUAUGUGGGGAUAAAGUGAGCUACGUGUAGUUUAUUGCAGGUACCACAUGAAUAAGGACCGGCUAAUUCCGUGCCAGCAGCCGCGGUAAUACGGAAGGUCCAGGCGUUAUCCGGAUUUAUUGGGUUUAAAGGGAGCGUAGGCCGUGGAUUAAGCGUGUUGUGAAAUGUAGACGCUCAACGUCUGAAUUGCAGCGCGAACUGGUUCACUUGAGUAUGCACAACGUAGGCGGAAUUCGUCGUGUAGCGGUGAAAUGCUUAGAUAUGACGAAGAACUCCGAUUGCGAAGGCAGCUUACGGGAGCACAACUGACGCUGAAGCUCGAAGGUGCGGGUAUCAAACAGGAUUAGAUACCCUGGUAGUCCGCACAGUAAACGAUGGAUGCCCGUUGUUAGUUCACUUAAGAAUUAGCGACCAAGCGAAAGCAUUAAGCAUCCCACCUGGGGAGUACGCCGGCNCGGU